UCGAGGGGCAGCGGGGGCGAAGCUUGCUUCGCCUGCCGGCGACCGGCGCACGGGUGAGUAACACGUAUGCGACCUGCCCCCCGCAGGGGGAUAACCGGGAGAAAUCCCGACUAAUACCGCGUAACGCCGCGGGGCUGCAUGGCCCCGCGGCCAAAGGAAGCGAUUCCGGCGGGGGAUGGGCAUGCGGCGCAUUAGCUAGUCGGCGGGGUAACGGCCCACCGAGGCGACGAUGCGUAGGGGUUCUGAGAGGAAGGUCCCCCACACUGGUACUGAGACACGGACCAGACUCCUACGGGAGGCAGCAGUGAGGAAUAUUGGUCAAUGGGCGGGAGCCUGAACCAGCCAAGUCGCGUGAGGGAAGACGGUCCUACGGAUUGUAAACCUCUUUUGCCGGGGAGCAACGGGGUCCUUGCGAGGGCCCAAUGAGAGUACCCGGAGAAAAAGCAUCGGCUAACUCCGUGCCAGCAGCCGCGGUAAUACGGAGGAUGCGAGCGUUAUCCGGAUUUAUUGGGUUUAAAGGGUGCGUAGGCGGGCUGUUAAGUCAGCGGUCAAAUGUCGGGGCUCAACCCCGGCCUGCCGUUGAAACUGGCGGCCUCGAGUGGGCGAGAAGUAUGCGGAAUGCGUGGUGUAGCGGUGGAAUGCAUAGAUAUCACGCAGAACUCCGAUUGCGAAGGCAGCAUACCGGCGCCCGACUGACGCUGAGGCACGAAAGCGUGGGUAUCGAACAGGAUUAGAUACCCUGGUAGUCCACGCAGUAAACGAUGAAUGCUAGCUGUCCGGGGCUUCGGCUCUGGGUGGCACAGC
rnacentral:rRNA from 1 species